rnacentral:rRNA from 1 species
GUACUAGCCUGCCGAUUCCUCCUUCUUGUAGAACCGUAAUGCCAUUAAUUUGGUGUUGCGGGGAAACAGGACUGUUACUUUGAAAAAAUUAGAGUGUUUAAAGCAGGCUAGCGCCUGAAUACAUUAGCAUGGAAUAAUGAAAUAGGACGUUCGAACCUAUUUUGUUGGUUUCUAGGAUUGACGUAAUGAUUAAUAGGGAUAGUUGGGGGCAUUAGUAUUCAAUUGUCAGAGGUGAAAUUCUUGGAUUUAUUGAAGACUGACUACUGCGAAAGCAUUUGCCAAGGAUGUUUUCAUUAAUCAAGAACGAAAGUUAGGGGAUCGAAGACGAUCAGAUACCGUCGUAGUCUUAACCAUAAACUAUGCCGACUAGGGAUCGGAUGAUGUUAAUUUUUUAAUGACUCAUU